GGCGUGCGGGUGUGCCGAGGUUGUUGUUCGAGAGUUUGGUGCGAAGAGUUGUGCGGUGUUCGAGGGUUGUGCGAAAAGUGGGUCGAAGGUUUUGUUGCGAGCAGUGGUGUUGGCUCGUGUGUGUGGUUCGAGUAUUGCGACGAAGGUCGCGGUGUUCGAGGGAGUCGUGCGUGUGUUGUUGGCGUAGGUCGAGAGCGAGCGAAGGGUGCGUCGCUGCUGUGCGCGCCAGCGAACCGAAGAAGGCUCGAGUGGGGCUGUGUGGCGAGCGAAGGCCACCGGAGUUCCGUCGCCGGAAUUUUGUGCCGGCGAAAGUCAGUGGUCCCAAUUUCAUAAGCGGCUCGUUCUAUUAAGUCAGCGAAAAUUCUCCGUUACAAGAUGGUUCACGACAUAGGCUGUAGGGACUUUUUGAUGAAACAAGUAGGGGAAGACUGGGAUAUGUGGUUCUUUAAAAUGAAGUCUGCUAUGGAUUACAGAAUUAUGCAAGGGGAACAGUGGUUACGAUCUGAGGGCUCUAGGAUACACUUCAUGCUUCGUUAUGUUCCAGAUAUAGAGCCAUAUAGAUUUGUUCAUCGUAGGUAUGGGGAUAU